rnacentral:lncRNA from 1 species
CUGCUUUUGAGUGAUGUUUAUUCAAUAGCUAGUAACUUCACUUAUUUCAGGGUCUCCAAUUGAGAAACAUGGCACUGUUUUUCCUGCACUCUACCCACCUAUUGCUGGACUUCUGUUGUAACAAGUUGGCAAACUCUGGCUGGAACUGGGCUGCAAUAAAACAUGCCAGUCAUUAAUGCUGACAAGAGCCUAACAAGUGCCAACUUACAGAUGAUUACGCAUUUUGAAUUCUAAUGAACUGUUUUAACCUUCAGGAAGAAUUGUAAAGACCUGUACAUAGCACAACAUGAUCCGGAUAAUAUAUAUACUGUUCAUGUACAUCCAC